AUGUGCGAGGCAGAGGCAGGCAGCGAACUUCCCAGUGAUGACAGUGUGUACUGUGGGGAGCAGAGCUGUCAGUUUGGGAACACAAUUGCAGGAAAAAGGAGGCCAGUCUCCAUAUCUACCUCAGCUUCACUCCGGGUGAGUCGAGCCCACCAAAGCCUUAGAGGUCUGAGUGGGUCACGGGGACUCCGAAGAAAGCAGCCAUGAAGACAUCUGGGAGGAA
rnacentral:lncRNA from 1 species